UGAAUACGAGACGCUAAGGCGUCGAAGUAGUGUAUGUCAUACUUCCAAGAAAAGCUUGCACUGUCAUAAGUAAAAAAUGCCUGUACCAUAACCGACACAGGUGGGUAGGUAGAGUAUACUAAGGGGCGCGAGAUAACUCUCUCUAAGGAACUCGGCAAAAUAACUCCGUAACUUCGGGAGAAGGAGUACCUUAUUCUAUAAGGUUGCAAUAACAAGAUCCAAGCAACUGUUUAUCUAAAACACAGGUCUCCGCUAAGUCGUAAGACGAUGUAUGGGGGCUGACGCCUGCCCAGUGCCAGAAGGUCAAAGAAGUCGGUUAGCAUUAGCGAAGCUGGUAACUGAAGCCCUGGUGAACGGCGGCCGUAACGAUAACGGUCCUAAGGUAGCGAAAUUCCUUGUCGGGUAAGUUCCGACCCGCACGAAAGGCGUAAUGAUUUGGAUACUGUCUCGGAGAGGGGCUCGGUGAAAUAGACUUGUCUGUGAAGAUGCGGACUACCUGCACCAGGACAGAAAGACCCUAUGAAGCUUUACUGUAACUUGAAAUUGAAAUUGGACUUUAUUCGCGCAGUAUAGGUGGGAGGUGUUGAUUAUAAUCUUGCGGGAUUAUUGGAGCCAUCAGUGAGAUACCACUCUUGUAAUGUUAGAUUUCUAACUUUGAAUCAUUAUCUGGUCAAAGGACAGUUUCAGGCGGGCAGUUUGACUGGGGCGGUCGCCUCCCAAACGGUAACGGAGGCGUACAAAGGUUUCCUCUGAACGGGUAGAAAUCGUAUCUAGAGUGUAAAGGCAUAAGGAAGCUUGACUGUGAGACCUACAAGUCGAACAGGGACGAAAGUCGGUCUUAGUGAUCUGACGGUACUGAGUGGAAAGGCCGUCACUCAACGGAUAAAAGUUACUCUAGGAUAACAGGCUGAUCUCCCCCAAGAGUUCACAUCGACGGGGAGGUUUGGCACCUCGAUGUCGGCUCAUCGCAUCCUGGGGCGGUAGUACGUCCCAAGGGUUGGGCUGUUCGCCCAUGAAAGCGGUACGCGAGCUGGGUUCAGAACGUCGUGAGACAGUUCGGUCCAUAUCCGGUGUAGGCGUUAGAAUAUUGAGAGGAGCCUUCUUUAGUACGUGAGGACCGAGAAGGACAUACCUCUGGUGUACCAGUUAUCGUGCCAACGGUAAACGCUGGGUAGCUAUGUAUGGAGUGGAUAACCGCUGAAAGCAUCUAAGUGGGAAGCCCACCUCAAGAUAAGUAUUCUCAUG
rnacentral:rRNA from 1 species